rnacentral:rRNA from 1 species
GCAAGUCGAACGGUAAGGCCCUGCUUGCAGGGUACACGAGUGGCGCACGGGUGCGUAACGCGUAUGCAACCUACCUUUAACUGAGAGAUAGCCCCGAGAAAUUGGGAUUAAUACCUCAUAAUAUCAUAAAACAUCAUUGUUUAAUGAUUAAAACUCCGGUGGUUAAAGAUGGGCAUGCGUGACAUUAGUUUGUUGGUGAGGUAACGGCUCACCAAGACUGCGAUGUCUAGGGGGUCUUAAAGGAUGAUC